ensembl:lncRNA
GUUUCCUUACACUUUAAUUAUUGACCGUGUCCACAUAUUUUCCUCACUUCUGUUACAAGCUUGAGAUGACAAAAAAAACAUUAUUCCAGGGUAGAUAUUCGUGUAACAGUGUUUUUUUGUGAGUAGUCAUUUGUCUACUGUUGUCACUGAAAAGCAAGACGUGUCUGUUCAGUCACCAAAGAACAUCCACACUUACAAAGAGAGUGAUUGCACGAUGGCCAGCGCCUACCGGUUUGCCGUUUCCCUUUGUGAUCUUUGAAGUCGGAGUCCACUUUCAUGGCUGAAUGUCAACUCUGUCACACUGACAAAAAUGCAGCUUUGUUUUCUCUCCCAGGAAAGGCGUCCAUUCGAUCUGUGGUUACUGUGGUUUCCACUGCCGCUGAAGACAGUGGAAGGAGUAACUGCAUUUCCCCCGGAGAUGAACCACCGUUGAGUUCAAGCGAUGCGCGUUCCACGCUGUUGCACACUUCGCGUUUGUGAGAGUCGAUGUAAUAGCCUGGAACCAAAGAAUCGGAGCAGAACUGUGUGUCAACGCAUCGGCUCAUCGGCACAGUAGGAUUUAAAUAGAUCCUUUUUUUAAACUUCUGAAUAAGACGAGCAUUUAUGGAUGGGACCAACUAUCAAAUUACUGAAUGUUAUUGCAAACACGGGGAUGAUUUAUUUAUUUUGCA